GGCAGCUCGGGGGAUGAGAGGAGUGCAUGCAGACACGUGAUGUAAAGUCUUGCUUUUACGUAAAUUGAAGAACUGAAGUAAAGAUCGUCUUGUUUUUUAAACGUAUGCACGCCUGGAAAUCCCUCUUGUGUCCACGUGUGCAACAAAUAUUGGAGGCACUGCUGAGGUAUUAAUGUUUCGCCGUGUCUGUGUGUGACACCAACUCGGACGGAGUUUUCCCCUGACGGGAGCGAGCAGGGCUGGAGCACCGGACGCGCACAGCAGGUUGCAACUGGAUCAGCUCAAAGAGGUGAGAUGGCUGACAAUUAAGAAAACAGAGUUCAGUGAGGAAGAGACGGCUUGGUCUUCAACAGGAUGCCAGGAUCACAUUUUUAACACACCGUUUAAAGCUGAACAUCCAGCAUACCACACAGAGAUGGAGAAUGACAGCACGCUCUUGAUGGUCGCCCGGUAGAAGGACACCAGCAGCUUCUUGUUCAGUCUGUUCCUCCGAAGCACCCUCAUGAAGUGCAGUCGCUGCUGGGCCUUUUUAACUGCUGCAGUGGUGUGUGCAGCUGAGGCUCUCCGAAAUUUGAACCCCGAGGAACUUAAAGGUGGGGACCCUCUCCACUCUCUCUCCAUUGAGUCUUGACCCCUUGAUGCAUCUCUUCAAGACAAGUUACUGGGCAAACACCAAACUGCAAGAUGAAAACUAUUGUCAUUGAUUGGAUGCCACAUCUCUGCCUAUUUGCAGAGACAACUCCCCAGAAGAAGAAAUAACCUGCAGUUACGGGGAUGCUGACUGGCCUUUGCGCAAACAGUUCCAGGUGACAAACGGGCAUACUAAUCCAGAGGGAGUUGAGGAGGAGAGGCUCCCCUUAGACUUGACUUUCCCCGAAACAUCAACAAGUGACUGUGCUACGACCGAGUUCCAGGUGACAAACGGGCAUACUAAUCCAGAGGGAGUUGAGGAGGAGAGGCUCCCCUUAGACUUGACUUUCCCCGAAACAUCAACAAGUGACUGUGCUACGACCGAGUUCCAGGUGACAAACGGGCAGACUAAUCCAGAGGGAGUUGAGGAGGAGAGGCUCCCCUUAGACUUGACUUUCCCCGAAACAUCAACAAGUGACUGUGCUACUACCGAGUUCCAGGUGACAAACGGGCAGACUAAUCCAGGGAGGGAGUUGAGGACGAGACGCUCUCCUUGGAACUUUAUGUCUACAUAAGCAUCAAACAGUGACUGUGCUACUACCGAGGGAAACAAACGUUUGUGAAACGCAGCUGGACGUCAGCAGAAAGUGCUGCUGUGGAACAACACUUGGGUUAUGAAAUGGACAAUCAAGAACCAGGUUCCAGGGAAAGAUGCAUGUGAGGAUUGUAUCCCUGCCGAACCUCAAGCCCUAACAAAUAGGGACUGGGGAGCCGUUAAGUAUUACAUGAACAUUUCAAUUUCUUCUCUCCGAAUGUAAAUGAAAUAAAAUUGAACCAAGGAAAAAUACGUUCAAUGUUGAAAGAAGGAUUUCAAGUACCACUACCAAAACUAGGGGCUUUACCUAAACCAAACCAAAUUUUCAUUUUUGAAUCGUCAACUAAUAUAAAUUAAAGGGAAAUCAAUUGCAUUCCGAUUAUGCUGCUAGAAAGAAUCAUCCAUGUUUUCAAAGAUUUCCUUUUUUGCUUUUAGGGUUUUCCCUCUCCUGUAGUGUAGAAAAUAUCUUUUUGUGCAUGUAAAUGUUUUUCAAAGUCUAAAAUCCCUCAUUGAAGCAUGGAAACAUUUCACAGGAGAGAAACUUUAUACAAAUUUGAACCUCAAAAUGACCAGAAUAUGUCAUUGUUAAAUGUAACUCAAAAGGAGGUAAAAGUCUACUGAUUUGUUAGGCCUGUUUGUUUUGUUUUUUGGGUCAUGGGAUUGGUCAAGUUGUACAUUUUGUUUUAACGAUAUAGAAACACCCCAAUAAUAUACAAAUAAAUAUUUAUAGCAUUAAAAUAAUGUUGUAGAGAGUUUAUAUGAAUUAUACUUUUUUCUCAAGAAUUACUAAUUGUUGCCUCUAAGAAAAAACAAUGUUGAACGAAAAGGAUCUUUAGGGGAUUAUUGAUUUGGUCUCCAUGGUGUUUCAAUGUUACUGCCAUGUCUACUGUCUAGUUAUAUUCUAUGUUAAGAUGAGGCUAAUCACCUAAGUAAUGACUUAUUUUACCAGCAAUGUGAAUUUGUUGGUGUAAAAAAUAUCAGAGUAGAAUGUAAAUGUUCAUGAUGCUGUUCUGCAGUUUCUUUGGUAACAAGGAAAGUCCAUUCAACUCAAUAAUGUCUCUAGUAACUCUGAUCCCUUCCAAGAUAUGAAAACUAGAAAUAUGUGUGUGUCUGAUCCCUUCCAAGAUAUGAAAACUAGAAAUAUGUGUGUGUGUGUGUAUAAUGGACCUCAUAAG